rnacentral:rRNA from 1 species
CACUCCUACUGGAGGGCGCACCAAGGAAUACUGGUCAAUGGGAGGAAGCCUGAACCGACCAUGUACCCUGGAGGAAUAAAGCCCUAUGGGUUGUAAACUGCUUUUAUACGAUAAUAAUUUGAUGCACGUGUGCGUUUUUGCAUGUAUCGUAUGACUAAUGACCGGGUGAUUCCGUGCCACCAGCCGCCGUCAUAUAGAUAGUCCACGCGUUCUCCGGAUUUAUUGAGUUUGAAGGGAGUGUACGCAGUUUGUGAACCUAGUUGUGAAAUUGAAGGGUUCAUCAUUUAACUUGCAGCGCCAUCUGUUAAACUUGAAUACUGCUUCCGAAUCUGGAAUUCUUGGUGGAACAGGAGGAUGCUUAAAUAUCAUGAAUAACUCCGAUUGCGAGGGAUAUGUCGAAUAACUGCACUGACGCUUAACCUCGUGAUGCGCGGAUAUCGACACUAUACUCUCAUACCCUGGUAGUAGCACACAGUAUACAGAUACACGGCCUAGUGCCAUGCCCCUGGCGAUAGCGGCCUAUGCGAAGGAAUGAUUGCAUCCUCUUCUGGAGCGUACUCCAGACACUGAGCACCUCGCCGGGAAUAGAACGACUCACUA